rnacentral:lncRNA from 1 species
CCCAACAUCCCAAUUUCUUGGGGGAUGGUGCCUGUAACACCCCUUCUCGGAGUGUCACAGAUUUUUUUUUUUUAAAUACACGUUCACAUUUAAAACCACACAUUUAUUAAUAUUAUACAUUGAGAACAUCAGAGUUUUUCAAGAACAAUUAUUGGAUUACAGACCAAAUCAUAAAAGUAUAUUAAAAUUAAAAACCACAACGUUCCAUGAUUUAAAAUACAUAUUUAAAAAUCCCAAAGAGUGUUUCCCCAACGCAUCCUCGCACUAAACGUCUUCAGUUUUACCUGAAACAUCAUCUACUCCCGUAUAACGACACGAGUUAUACGAUCAUCGUAGACACACAAGUAGGGUGAGCUAACAGAAAAAUAUGAGUUACAGAUAAACCUACUUACAUACUUUGAAUAAUAUUAUUAAUGUAAACAUACUACCAUCACGUAUACUUCAGACACUACUCACUUCUCAUCUGACUCUAAUCACUUCUCAUUUCUCACGUAUCUAUGGAAUUUAUCUCGAUUUUUUUCGCAUUUGUUAAGUUUAUGCCACAACCAGUCCCUCAUAUGGACCGCGGAUAAGAGUCGUCCUACGCACACCACAUUGGACAUAUCUCCCUAAUUCUUCAAGGGCUUACGAGUAAAAACAUUGGUGAGUAACAUCCAUUCACCAAGCACAAUACUCAGCACAAGUCAGAAACUCUUGGCGAGAUAUUUGUACCCUCUAGAAAGAGGAAAAGUAACAGGACUCGAAUCCACUUAUCGCCUUACAUAGGCAAAAAGGAAAUCAUCAUUUUUAACUACCGAGAUAAAUAUAAAUCAUCCCAAUGAUACGAUAAGAUUAGAGAAUCAAAAAGGAUUAUCUAUUAGACUAAAAGAACUCAACAUCCAUUAACUUAAAUUAAAUCUAAAAUACAUUCAGAAUAACGUGUUGUCUACUUUGACCUUGGCUCAAUGUUUUACUCGUAAUUUUUCUCUACAGUAUUCCAACUGAAGAGAUUCUUGUUUUGUUGGAUUCUAAACUCAAGAAUCUUUUCUUAGACACCAGACUAGUAAAAUAUCCUUCAUUACAAUUUUAAUAUUUAAAAUAUUCAACACAAAAAGUAUUGGUAAGCUACCAAAAACAUAAUUUUCAUAUAAACGUUCUGGAAAACCAAGAAGUUGAAUCUGGCAAAGCCGGUUAGACAUCUUCUUAUCCUUCCAGAUAGAUGUAAUAGAAAAAGGAUAUACACUCAAUAAUUCAUACAAACAUCAUAAAAUCCAUUCAUCCCAAAAAAAAAAAUCAUACAAAUUAAAUAUAUCACAAAAUAAUUUAACUGCACAUAAUCUGUUUGAUAAGAAUUAGUUAAAAACACAACGAGUAGACUUCCAGGAAAGAGAGGUGUGUCACAAUGGACAACUUAAGUACCAGGUCUUUCCUUAGCCAAAGUGUUCCUCAAUGUGUUAUUAACAGAUUUCUUAUUCACAGAUUCAAAACAACAGCAUAUAAUAUUAUCACAGAAAUUCAAAUAGUUAUGCAACAAGCACAUAGGUUUUUCAUUAAUAGUAAUUGCACAAAAUUUCAAGACAUGAAUAGUUAUAAAAAAAUAUUUUAUAAAUAAAUAAAAAAACUUAGAAAGGUUAGCUCCCCUUACCUCUAUUUUAGACUCAAUUCCUUCCUCCGAAGUUGUUCCCCCCGAAAAUCUUCCAGAACCCCUACUCUUCUAAAAUUUUCUUCCUAACUCUUUCUUCUCAAGAUUUCUCACUUGAUUCUUCC